AGACAGCCAGCGCGCGCGUUUGGCAGCGUUCUGUUGCGGCUGUCUGCUGGUGCCUCUGAGGUGUUGGCCAUCUAAGGCAGGAGACCGAGAUCCUGGGACAGCAGUUUUGAAGACUGAUCGUUUGCCUGCUCCAGCCAGAUCCUUACUUCAGAUUGCUUGAAAUAAAUUAGCAGGAGGCAAAAUGGACCAUAAACAGCUUACAGGAGGCUGAGGUACAGGAAAUGAUCUUCAACACAGAUGGCCUUCCUGCUCCAGGAUCUCCAAGGAAAAAUGAUGUUUCAGUAAUGGGAUCUUGAAGUACCCCCAGGAGCGGCAGGUGAUGAACGGGCAGACAGCCAGUCCUGACAAAGUAGUGGUAGGAGAUGGUGGUACCAGGGCUUCGGCGUGCUCUUUGGUUCACAGCUCCUUCCAGGUAGCCUGAACUGUUGAAUGCUACAGAGCUUCCAGAGGUGGCUUGAGCAUGACCAUCUUGAAAUGCAAGAGGAGAAAAAACUUAGCUGUCUGAUGUACAGAUGUAGGUAACGUGGUCUUGGGUAAGAUAUCUGAUCUUUGCACCAGCAAAUAUGUGCAUCUUUAAGCAUGUUCAGCAGAUCUGCUCAUCCCUGUUUGUACAGUGCCUAGGAUCAGAGAGCUCUAAUACAUUGAAAUGUCCUGCUACUUACAGAAUUCAAACAGUUUCCCCGUUACACUGUCAGAACGAAGGGGAUGUGUUUGGUGAGGGUGGGCAAACCCAGGCUCACUCUCGUGGUGGCUGCAGAACCAGGUGGCCUGGGAAGGUAUUUAUUCUGACUUUUUGUGAGCCAUCUUGGAUCUGGAUUCUGUGUUAGUCUGCCACAAUGCCUCAGCUAACAAGCUUUGCUGAGAGUUAGACGUAUAUCUUGAAUGUAUUCCUGGUUAAACAUGACAAUACUGUUAGUAAUUCCUGAUAGGUUGAAGCUAUUACCUGUGGACUUACUAACUUUAGUCUUGGCUAGGUGUAGAGGACCGGUUCUCUACAUGCAGUUUUGUCUCGACACUGCUGCUGCUGCCAAGCCGCUGCUGCCAAGGCGUGUGGGGCAAUGCUGUGCCGGUGCCCCUGGGAGCCGUCCGCGAGGUAACAACCUCGUGCACCUGCACGAGGUAAAAAGGGCGCGAAAAGGGCAGAAGGUCAUCUCUAGGGCACGAACCGCACGUACUCAUUUGCCAUCUGCGCAUGAGCAGGAGACCCCCAGAUGCCCCAGCCCGUUUCUGGAAGGUUCCGAGAGGGCGGACUGCGCGUGACAGUUAAUCUGCAUGGGGCGUGAGGAAGCACCUCCCGGAGGUGGGGCAAGAACCUACAAAAACUGCAGACGGCGUGAGUAGAGGGGGGCCUUGCUUGCGACGACUGAGGAACUGGAGCGGAGUCAGCGGAACCAGACGGGAGCUUCCUGCCGCUGCCCCCCCGCGCUGCCGAGACUCCCAAGAGAAGAGGACCAACAGGACGCCACUGGAUCCACGGGUGGUGAUACCUAUCUUUCUCUCUCUCUCUCUGUCUUGUCCUUUUCCUCUUUUUUCCCUAAACGUGUGAUGCGGGACGUGUCUAGUUAGUUGAUUCCUUAAUAAAUCUUAAAAUUGGU